ACGCUGGCGGUAUGCCUAAGACAUGCAAGUCGCACGGACUGUUUCGGCAGUUAGUGGCGGACGGGUGAGUAACACGUAGGUGACCUACCCCAAAGUCUGGGACAACUAGGAGAAAUCUUAGCUAAUCCUGGAUGUGAACCUCAGCUGUGGCUGAUGUUUAAAGCUUCGGCGCUUUGGGAUGGGCCUGCGGCGCAUCAGGUAGUUGGUGGGGUAACGGCCCACCAAGCCGACGACGCGUAGCUGGUCUGAGAGGACGACCAGCCACAGGGGUACUGAGACACGGACCCCACUCCUACGGGAGGCAGCAGUUAGGAAUCUUCCGCAAUGGGCGAAAGCCUGACGGAGCGAUACCGCUUGAAGGACGAAGCCCUUCGGGGUGUAAACUUCUGAACUCGGGACGAUAAUGACGGUACCGAGGUAAUAGCACCGGCUAACUCCGUGCCAGCAGCCGCGGUAAUACGGAGGGUGCGAGCGUUACCCGGAUUUACUGGGUGUAAAGGGCGUGUAGGCGGUCUCUCAAGUCCGAUGCUAAAGACCGAAGCUCAACUUCGGGGGUGCGUUGGAUACUGUGAGGCUAGACGGUCGGAGAGGGUAGCGGA
rnacentral:rRNA from 1 species